rnacentral:lncRNA from 1 species
UUCCCUUCUUACCUUUUCCCUACACCUCCUUCUUCCCCUACUUCUUUAGACCUUCCUUUUCUUCCUGUUUCACAUCAUUAAUUAUACUUUUUGAUUCUUAUUUACACUUUUAGUUUUUCAUACCAGAGAAACUAUUUGGUAUUUACACAUGUGUGUCCUAUUUAUUAUAACACAGUUUUUAAACAUUCACUGCACAUUUUGAUUCACCUUGUAGGGAGAAGGUCUGAGGAGAAACAGACGGGUUCCACCUGAAGAGUGAGGCCCGGUUCAAACUCAUUUUUCCACCUCUGCAUUCCCAAGGAUCCUGCCUGUUAGCACACCCAACAAUCACCCAUGUCCAGCCCCACGGUGUGCCCAGACUCACCCACAGUCCUGCAGCCAGUCUUCAAUCUUGUUGAUUGGAUUCCCUAGAGAAGUCAAAUACCAGAUUAUUGCGAGAAUGGAAGAAAACAGACCUCUGCCCUGCCCAACUCACCUCUUACCCCAUUCCACAAUUUUGUCCGUAUGUAAGUCACAUUUUGAUCCCUCCCCCAAUCUUUUCUGUAAGAUGCAAGUAAAAUAAAACCAUAUAUAAGGACAGUGGAUCUGUCUUCUCUUUGCCUGUCUUCUCCUUGGGAACCUAGGAAAUGUCCAAGCCAUCAGUCCACUUUCUUUUCCUCAAGUUUUGGGAACAGAGAUGGCUCCUUUUCAAAAACCAAACCAAACCAAAACCAGAACAAAC